CCAUUUCGUCUGCCUCUGGGAGCUCGAGUGCCAGAUCAUUAAGUAGCCAACACGAACAGACGAGCGGAAAUGGCAAGGAGGAAGACUGCUCUAACUCUGGCACUGAGGUGGUUCUUCAGAAAGGUUUGAAGGUGAUGCCGGAAAAUAGCACCACGUGGAAAGAAACGUUCUAUCAGCACAGUGAAAAGCAGAGGUCUCCUGAUGAGAAGAGAACAGACCCAGAUCAUGGAACCAAGGGUAUCUGCACCAGUCAAAUUGUUUAUUUUUCUCAUUUCCCCAAAUCAAUUUAGAU